CACGGGGGGAGCAAGCGUUGUUCGGAAUCACUGGGCGUAAAGGGUGUCUAGGCGGUCAGGUAAGUGAGAUGUGAAAUGCCCCGGCUUACCCGGGGACCGGCAUCUCAUACUGUCUGGCUUGAGUAUGGGAGAGGAUGAGGGAAUUCCUGGUGUAGCGGUGAAAUGCGUAGAUAUCAGGAGGAACACCGGUGGCGAAAGCGGCUCUCUGGGACGGUACUGACGCUGAGACGCGAAAGCGUGGGGAGCGAACAGG
rnacentral:rRNA from 1 species